UGAACGCUGGCGGCGUGCCUAAUACAUGCAAGUCGAACGCACAGCGAAAGGUGCUUGCACCUUUCAAGUGAGUGGCGAACGGGUGAGUAACACGUGGAUAACCUACCUCAAGGUUGGGGAUAACAUUUGGAAACAGAUGCUAAUACCGAAUAAAACUUCGCAUCGCAUGAUACAAGGUUAAAAGGCGCUACGGCGUCACCUAGAGAUGGAUCCGCGGUGCAUUAGUUAGUUGGUGGGGUAAAGGCCUACCAAGACAAUGAUGCAUAGCCGAGUUGAGAGACUGAUCGGCCACAUUGAGACUGAGACACGGCCCAAACUCCUACGGGAGGCUGCAGUAGGGAAUCUUCCACAAUGGGCGAAAGCCUGAUGGAGCAACGCCGCGUGUGUGAUGAAGGCUUUCGGGUCGUAAAGCACUGUUGUAUGGGAAGAACAGCUAGAGUAGGGAAUGACUUUAGUUUGACGGUACCAUACCAGAAAGGGACGGCUAAAUACGUG
rnacentral:rRNA from 1 species